ensembl:lncRNA
GUGUGUCCCGCAUCUAACACCUGAUUCAGCUCAUCAGAAGAGACUGAGCUGCUGGGGGUCCAGGGGGGGCUUGUAAGCAGUGCAGAUGGGAUCUGAGCUGAAGGCUUAUUAGAUAAACAGUUGGAUUAGUUUUGGAGAUGCAUAUGACAGCAUUUUCAAGUGUGAUCAGUGGAUUAUAGCAGGACAGCAUCUCGCGCAGAGACACCACAGAACACCAGCAUGUUGCACUGGCUCAUGGUUUUGAUCGUCGUGCUCAACAUCAGCAUCACAGUCGUGGAGUGGACCUUUCUCUUAUAUGAGCUGAUGAGGUUAAAUUCAGAGGAUCCAGAUGAAGUGUGUCCGGAGUAGACAGAGCGGCACAGCUCGGUAGCAUGAGGACUUUAGUCUCACAUCAUGUGCACAAAGAAAUUAAGUGUCAAGGUAAGAAGUGCGUUUGAGUUGCAGGUUUCUCUCAGUUCUACAUUACUGUAGCGUCUGUGGCGUGAAGUGUGACACGGUCCUACCUGCCCAUUAUUCUCUCCUUUGCUGGAUUAGAUGGGAAUCUCUGGACGUGGUUCUCCUAAUCUGGGGAAUGUUCGGUGUGCUGGAACACACGCUGGUGGAUUCAGGAUUUGAUUAAAACAGGCUUAAUCUCCUCGUUCUCUGCGGCUCAAUCGUUCCCCUGUAAUCCAGGCAGAUAUUGUUUGUGAUUAGAAAACUUUAAAACCUUCUUUAUUUCUUUAUGUCGUGAGCUGUAAUUAAGUGUGCUGCCCUAUAUGUCUCUCUCUCUCUCUCGUUCUCAUUUUCUGAACAGCAGAUUUGUUGGUUAGCAGGAGUGUUGAAUGUUGAAAGUUCAGAUCGGCUCCGGGACAGACGCUGUCAGUCAGCAUGGACUCUCUCCUCUCCUCCUCGUCUGGUUCUGCAGAGGAGAGGCUCUCGUGGGCCGCGGGUUCUCAGCGUUUGCUGCAGUCUCACGGGUCAGACCUCCGGCGCGAGACUCCAUCUCUGUGCCGCCGCAUGUGCUGUACAUCACUGUGGGACUGCUGCUGCUGGUUCUGGUCACGUAUGCGAUUGUGGGUCACCUGAUCGUUGACCUGCUUCAUGACCUGGCAGACUGGGUCUUCGGCCCUAAAACUGGAGCUGGUGAUUCUGAGCGCGGCCGUGAAGAGGCGGGGGUUCUGAUGGAGGAAGAGCGAGCCGGUCUGCUGCCGGGAUUCAUCAUCACCGAGCCCCAUCAUCACACAGGAUCCGGCCUUCAUUACAUCACAUCACUAUGAGUCUGCAGACAGUGCAGUCUGUGCCAGCUCUCAUUACUCUGGCUUUAAUGUUUUCACUUCGUCUUUAGCAUGUUUUUAUCAGACCAGAUGCUCUUUUAGCUGCUGUAGACAAGCAAAGCGUAGAUAACAGUCUUUCAGCAAGAAAAGAGGGCGUGGUCAUGUGACCGUUGUGAUGUCAUCAACGUAAUUGCUGUGUUCUGUGAUGCCAUUAAAAUUAAUUCUGGGAUAGUUGCUAUUUUGGCUCUGUAUAGGCAUAAAUGAUGCAAAAUAGAAUUAAAGCCUCUCCUCACAGCUCGUUGUGUCUGAUUCAUCUUCAUGAGCUACGAGAUUAUUCUAAAGCCUGUCUGGGUCAAUAGGGACAGAAACGUGAGAUGUUACACCGCAGCAGAAUCUCAAGAAGCCCGUCGAGAGCUCAAAAUCAGAAGAAAGAAAUGCAUCAUGCUAAACUAAUGUUGACCUAGUUUCAUUAUUAACUAUUUUUAUUGUGUACUGGUUUAAUUGAGCUGCUCUUAAGAGAUUUACAGCCUUUUAUUAGGUUUUACAAUGCUAG